rnacentral:rRNA from 1 species
UACGUAGGGGGCAAGCGUUGUCCGGAAUUAUUGGGCGUAAAGAGCUCGUAGGCGGUCUGUCGCGUCGGCUGUGAAAACCCGGAGCUCAACUCCGGGCCUGCAGUCGAUACGGGCAAACUGGAGUGUUGCAGGGGAGACUGGAAUUCCUGGUGUAGCGGUGAAAUGCGCAGAUAUCAGGAGGAACACCGAUGGCGAAGGCAGGUCUCUGGGCAUUAACUGACGCUGAGGAGCGAAAGCAUGGGGAGCGAACAGG